UUAAGGUGGUACCCAACACUUUAACUAAAAUUAAUUUGGCUCGUUUAAUUUUCUUAAAAUUUUGACAAAGUAUUUACUUUGACCCUUUGACAAAAAUACAAAAAUUUCAAAAAAUUUGAACCAACCGUUUAAUCAGAAAAAUUACACAGGUUAUAUAGCAGUUUGACAAACACUUAUUUUGAUCAUUGAGAAGCUUAAUAUUCCCUUUACAACACAACGUAAUUAAAACGUUUAGCUGAUUUUGCAGAGUUAUCUCCCUGUAGUGUUA
rnacentral:lncRNA from 1 species